ACAUACGACCACAGGGUGUGGAAAAUAGGGCUUCCCGUCUGCUCAGCUGCACUCAAGCCACACGCCGGGAGAUUAGUAGUUGGGCGGGUGACUAUUAGUGAAUCCCUUCUAUUAUAUAUC
rnacentral:rRNA from 1 species